CCCACCCUCCUCCUCUAUCCCUGACAAUCUCUAUCAUCGAAUCCGUCAUUAUCAUUCGCUACCACCUAUCUAGUUAGCCAAUAUUUUUCCACCUCAUACCCCUUUUCCAUCUCAUCGACGUCGCUCUGCGCCUUCUAACCUCUUCGCUUUGCCCCUACCCCCUAUCCUGCCCAUUGCUAACCUCCCUCUAAGGCAUGAAACUCCUCUGGCUUCCACCUCUCCCAACCCCUCUUUCACCUUAACUCUAACACCCAAACCUACAUGGAUGUUAGGCCAACACCAUCACACCGAAGUAACUCGUCGGAGCUAAAGGAGAAGAAGGUUGGGCAGGAUGCGAUGAUCCAAAAUCCGUAAUUUUCAGGGCAACAUAUUGGCUCCGGUGUUGCGCUCAGUUACAAAGGUGUGAUGAAGAUGACGAGUUUAUGAAGUUUGCAUGCCGUAGGCUUGAGACGACAGUUAUGCAACUUUUUGUCAAUUAUGGUUGGAGAUUUCAAAUAGACUUUAAUAACGUGUUCUCCUUAUCUUAGAUGGGUUAUUUUUUAUUUUAAGUGCGUGUUCUCAAUGUUUUGUUGAACUACACUCUGAGUACAACUUUGUAAUAAUUGGCUGUAACUCGUUUUGAGCAAAAACCGGGAUAUUCUAUUCCAUUAGAUGUGAACUUGAGAA